GUAGUCCACGCCCUAAACUAUGUCGACUAGUUGUUGGGGGAGUCUGUCCCUCAGUAACGUAGCUAACGCGUGAAGUCGACCGCCUGGGGAGUACGGUCGCAAGAUUAAAACUCAAAGGAAUUGACGGGGACCCGCACAAGCGGUGGAUUAUGUGGAUUAAUUCGAUGCAACGCGAAGAACCUUACCUACCCUUGACAUGCCAGGAACCCCGCAGAGAUGCGGGGGUGCCCGAAAGGGAACCUGGACACAGGUGCUGCAUGGCUGUCGUCAGCUCGUGUCGUGAGAUGUUGGGUUAAGUCCCGCAACGAGCGCAACCCUUGCCAUUAGUUGCUACAUUCAGUUGGGCACUC
rnacentral:rRNA from 1 species